GAUGAACGCUGGCGGCGUGCCUAAUACAUGCAAGUCGAGCAAACGGACGAGAAGCUUGCUUUUCUGAUGUUAGCGGCGGACGGGUGAGUAACACGUGGAUAACCUACCUAUAAGACUGGGAUAACUUCGGGAAACCGGAGCUAAUACCGGAUAAUAUUUUGAACCGCAUGGUUCAAAAGUGAAAGACGGUCUUGCUGUCACUUAUAGAUGGAUCCGCGCUGCAUUAGCUAGUUGGUAAGGUAACGGCUUACCAAGGCAACGAUGCAUAGCCGACCUGAGAGGGUGAUCGGCCACACUGGAACUGAGACACGGUCCAGACUCCUACGGGAGGCAGCAGUAGGGAAUCUUCCGCAAUGGGCGAAAGCCUGACGGAGCAACGCCGCGUGAGUGAUGAAGGUCUUCGGAUCGUAAAACUCUGUUAUUAGGGAAGAACAUAUGUGUAAGUAACUGUGCACAUCUUGACGGUACCUAAUCAGGAAGCCACGGCUAACUACGUG
rnacentral:rRNA from 1 species